rnacentral:misc_RNA from 1 species
UACGUAGGGGGCGAGCGUUGUCCGGAAUGACUGGGCGUAAAGGGCGUGUAGGCGGCUUUAUAAGUCUGGAGUGGAAGUCCUGCAUUCAAUGUGGGAAUUGCUUUGGAGACUGUAGAGCUUGAGUGCGGAAGAGGUAAGUGGAAUUCCCAGUGUAGCGGUGAAAUGCGUAGAGAUUGGGAGGAACACCAGUGGCGAAGGCGACUUACUGGGCCGUAACUGACGCUGAGGCGCGAAAGCGUGGGGAGCGAACAGG